rnacentral:rRNA from 1 species
AGUGAACGCUGGCGGUAGGCCUAACACAUGCAAGUCGAACGGCAGCACAGGAGAGCUUGCUCUCUGGGUGGCGAGUGGCGGACGGGUGAGGAAUACAUCGGAAUCUACUUUUUCGUGGGGGAUAACGUAGGGAAACUUACGCUAAUACCGCAUACGACCUACGGGUGAAAGCAGGGGAUCUUCGGACCUUGCGCGAUUGAAUGAGCCGAUGUCGGAUUAGCUAGUUGGCGGGGUAAAGGCCCACCAAGGCGACGGUCCGUAGCUGGUCUGAGAGGAUGAUCAGCCACACUGGAACUGAGACACGGUCCAGACUCCUACGGGAGGCAGCAGUGGGGAAUAUUGGACAAUGGGCGCAAGCCUGAUCCAGCCAUACCGCGUGGGUGAAGAAGGCCUUCGGGUUGUAAAGCCCUUUUGUUGGGAAAGAAAUCCAGCUGGUUAAUACCCGGUUGGGAUGACGGUACCCAAAGAAUAAGCACCGGCUAACUUCGUGCCAGCCGCCGGGUAA